GACGGAAGGUGCAAGCGUUGCUCGGAAUCACUGGGCGUAAAGGGCGUGUAGGCGGUUUGUUAAGUCUGGCGUGAAAGCCCUCGGCUAAACCGGGAGAGGUCGUUGGAUACUGGCAAACUAGAGGACGGUAGAGGCGUGUGGAAUUCCGGGUGUAGUGGUGAAAUGCGUAGAGAUCCGGAGGAACACCAGUGGCGAAGGCGACACGCUGGGCCGUACCUGACGCUAAAGCGCGACAGCAUGGGGAGCAAACGGG
rnacentral:rRNA from 1 species